UGAUCCAUCGUAACUUUUUUUCUUUAAUUGUUUGCAAUUAAAUUGCUCUUGGAAAUCUCAUGGUUAAUUUUUCCACAUUUUGAUUAAUGAUUACAAUCGGAAAUUGGAUUGGUCGUUGGAAGAGAUUGAUUGUCCAAUGGUAAGAACAUGGAAGAUACAAUUUAACUCGAUCCUUUAGUUGAUCAUUUGGUUGGCGCCUUUAAUACACACUAUUGGGUGAUCAGAAUGAACAGAAUUGGAUAAAAUGAGAAAGAGAAAUUUUUUUACAGAAAUGGAAAAACAAAGCGAACAAAAAAUUAGAGAGAAAAAGAGAAAUUGAAGUUCAAAUUGUUUUUUUCUUUUCUCUUCUCACUCACAUUUACACUCACACAGUUUGGAUUAAUUUACUGAUUGACCUUACCUGAAAUUCAACUUUCCAUUUAACCUUUAAUCACCCGCAAAAAACGGAAAAUGUGAACACCAAUUAACACCUUACCUGUUUCUGGAUAUCUGAAGCAAUUUCAAUUCCAAUAGCUAAUCAAAUUGAUUAAAUCAAUACAACUUCAAUUGGUGCUCAUACUUAUUAUCUACAGAGAGGUGUACACACACUUGGAGCACUAGAUUAAGUGCAAUCAAUUGACAUGUUUAGCUUGAGUUCAUGUGCUGGUGCAGAUCCGAUGGAGGAAAAGUCAAACCAAGUAACUUAACCAUGGGAAUUUAGAUUACAAUCUCUCUCUCUCUCUCUCUCUCUCUCUCACUAAUUUGUCUGGUACAAUUUUCCUCAUAUGAAGGAACUUACCCUGCAGUUACAAUGUUCAAUCAUUGAAACCACGAGUUUAAAAUGCUUUAAAACUAUUCAAGGAUUCAUUUGGAUAUAAUUUACAUGGAUGAUCUGAUUGCAAAUUAAAUUGAUCCCUUUCAAGAUGAUUUAUAAACAACAACACCAGCUAAUAUACUGGAUAGAUUCAAAUUAAUGACAUUGGACUCCAACCAUUCGAGGAUAUUAAUGUUAACCCUUUUUAAAUUAAUUAUAGAUACCGAAACUUUGCCGAAACUUAGCCGUUAAUUGUUCAGCAAGUCGAAUUCAAGUUUUGCUUGAGCCAGUUAAUCGUUGACUCUACAGCCAGUUGAUCGAAUCACAGCUUAGUUGACUUGCUCUCUCACUUUUUUCUUUGCUUUUUUGUCUCCUCUUCUCCCCUUUUUAACUUUUCUCCACUUGUUUCACAUGUUCCCGCCAUAGACUUUAGCCUAAAUUAACAAUCGAAUCAAUAAUUUACCUUUGAUUGAUUAACUUGCCCGAUCGAAUUUGUUAGCUCGGCUUGAGUAGACACCCGGAAUGAAAUAACUUUUCAAUUUAAUCGAACCCGCUUAAUAUUAGUUUACAUUUCUAAAGAUAUAACGAACUCUUCUCGAAAUAAAGUCCAUCUUUUUUUUUCGGUUGGUGCUCAAAUUAGAAUAGUUUAAGCAGCUCAUAGUUCACUCACUUUGGCUCAAUUCGUUCGCCAUCUAAUUAUUAGAACCUUUAAGUGAUCCUCUUUCUGCGACUUUUUCGCUCACCGCCGAAAGAGUGAAAGUGCAAAAAAGGUAAAGAGUAGUACAUUAAUACUCGGAGACGGAGUAACAACUUGUUUACUCUUGAGUUGACCAGUCGAUCGAAUGAGCCAGAGGAAAAUUCACUCUGACUUAGCCAAAAGUAUUUCGACUCACUGAUUAGCUCGGCUAACUUAAGCUUCUACUAAUUAAAAUUACCUGUUUCUCCAAAUCCCCUUCAAUUAAUCGAUUAAUUACUUGAUGGUGAGCAUUCUAAAGGCUAAAAUCAAAUUGAUUUCACAAUCAAGAUGGAUGGUAAUUUAUAUAUACGCACACAAACAUACGCAACAAAACUUGAUAAUCAUCAUCGUCUUCAGAUUGGCUCCAUUUCUCAUUACUUUACUGUCGAGAGAGAGUGUGUGUGUGAGAGAGAGAGUGAGCUGGUUCAUUUCACUUUCUAUCUCUUUUAGUGAAUUUAUAAUCGUAAACCUGUUUCGCCAGGACCAUGGACCAGUUUUACUCUCAGAUUAUCUGAAUAUGAUCAGGAGUGAGAGAGAGAGAGAGUCGAUGAUGGUGGACGGAGGAAAACCAAAUGAAAGAGAAAAGCAAAAGGAAAAAAAGAAAGAUCAAAACAACAACAACAUGGAUGCAAUUUGAAGGAAAACCUUGGAUGGAAAAACGCGUUUCCAACAUUCUCUCCCUUUAAACAUUUUUAUUUAUCAGUUACAUUUGCCUAAGGAAAUGAAAGUUUAUUCUGAUGAUCAGAAUCAUCAACCUUGGUUUUGAUAAGGUAAUUAAAUGGCUUUAAAUUAUAUUGAUCAUGAUUAAGUUACACAUUCAUGUCGAAACUUUUCUCGUAAAAAAAUCUAAAUUAAUCUCAUCUGAUUUUUCUUGACAAUAAUUGCUAAUUUCGUUUAAUUAACAGAGAAAGAAAGAAAGAAAGAAAGA